rnacentral:lncRNA from 1 species
UGCUAUAUUUGUUUUUAUUUUAAGAACCUUUAUGAAAUUCACUUCCUUAAGCAAAGUGUCCCAAUAGUGUACUCAAGGGAUUUUCUCUAAGUCGUAAAUCGCCUCUAUCUCUGAGUAAUGUCACCUCCUCAGAGAAGCCUUUCCUGCCCACCCUAUCCAAAAUAGUCCUUUGCCUGCACCCUGUAACUCCCGAUUUUAUUUUACUUAUAACACCUAUCACCCUCUGAAAUUAUGUUACUCAUUAUUUGCCUACAUUUAACUAUCUAAAUACUCCCACCAGAGAGGUAAACUCCACCAGAACAGGGACCGUGUUUGUCUUGCUCUCUCCAGGGCCCCCAGUUCCUUACUGUGGGCUUUGCACUUCCUUCUUCAGCCUCAGCUUUCCCCAGGCUGUUCAUAUUACUUGUUCCUUCACAUUCUUCCUGCCCCACUUCAAGUGUCACCUUUGCUGAGAGACCUCACUGACUUUUUGGUCUCUUCUAAUUAUUAUUUCCAUCAGAGCCUACGGUUGCAAGUAAUCAAAGGUGACUCUGGUUGGCUAAGCAGAAAAGUAGUCUAAUAAAAGGAUAUUUUGUGGCUUGCCGAAUAGUUGAAAGGGCUGGAGAGUUUGGCUUGAGUUAAGCUUUCAAAUUAGUGAAGGGGUUUAGAACAAGUCACCCCCAAAUGUGUCACUUUGGAAUAUGGAUUACUUUGAACUGAAGUCAAUGAAGGCCCAGACGACUCAGGAAGAAUUUUUUUUUAACCUUCUCAACUGCCUAAAAGAGUUUAGACAGAGGGCCUGGUCCAGGAAGAGAACUAUACAGAGAUAAUUACAAAAAGUGUGGGCUGGGAGUGGUAAGCUGGGGAACCUAGCAGGGCCUAUUUAUUCAAAGCCCUCUCUGAGUCUCAUAGUCUCUGCAUGGCAAACAUGUAUGUUCCAAACAUUUGCUCUUCCCAUCUUCCUGUGAAUUGUCUUCCUCCUCUUUGAAGCCCUAGACCUCCUUUUUAGCUCAGAAUGGCAUAUUAGCCUCAGUUGCCUCUCUGCCAAGGAGUAUCUCUUUGUCUUUGCAGGGCUUCCAUAUGUAUGUACUUCAACUUGUUUUUCUCCUAUCAGUCUUAUGCCAAUUUAAUUAAUGGACCAACCAAAAGAAUCUACAAGGGUAAAGGAAAAAUUUUCCUCCCCUCUACUAGCACCCAAAACUGUGAUAUAGAACAGAUUUGCUAAAGGAACAACUCUAGAUGCUAAGGACAAGUUGGUUCCUUUGUGCCACAUAUCUAUUACCUUGUAGCCUCAGCUACUAUUACUAGGAGAGAGGGAAAGACAGAGAGGUGAGAGGAAGAGAAACUUCCAAACAGGUCUUUUUUGCAUCACAGCAGCUGAUUCAAAUACCAGCAUGGGUGUAUCAAAUUAGUGGAACCCAGGUCAUCUGCCUGUGUUCUAGUCUUGAUGCAAAGGAGAUGGAUUAAAAAACUAUGUGGGGAGCUAGCCUUUACCUAACACCAAAUCUUACCCAGCGGUGCUUUCUUAAAGCACUGAAAUAUUGAAAAGCUUUUAGAUGUGUCCAUUAUAGUCUGUAUUAUGUUACUUCAUUUUCAUCACAGCCUCAUUAGAAUAUCUAAACAGCCUAUUGAAUAUUUUUAUUGUGUCACAUUGUAUUUAAUCAUAUUACCAGAAGGUAAGCACAAAGAGGACAGAGAGUUUAUUAGUUUCCUAGUACUGUUCUGACAAACUACCAUAGAUUUGCUGGGGUAAAACAAUACAAAAUUUACUAUCUUACCAUUCUGGAGAACAGGAAUCUGACAGGUUUCAUUGGGUAAAAUCAAGGUAUCAGCAGGGCUCUAUUCCCUUCUGGAGGGAAUAUAUUCCUAUUCUUACCUUUUCCUGCUUCUUGAAGCCAUCUGCACUCAUUAGUUCAUGGCCUCUUCUUUCAUCUUCCAAGCCAGAAACACCAGUUCAGUCCCUCACACAUUUAGAGUAUUUCUUCUCCUGGCUCACUUUACUUCCGGCCAGAAAGGUUCUCAGGUUUUUUAAAGACUAGUGAUUAGGUUAGGUCCACCUGGAUAAUCUGAAUGAGUCUCCCAUCUGCAGGUCUGUACAUUUUUUUUUUUCUGUUUUUUGGCCUCAGCACGAGGAAGUUCCCAGCCUGUGCCACAGCAAUGACCCAAAUCACAGCAGUGACAGCACUGGAUCCUUAACCACUGAGCCACCAGGGAACUCCCUGUAGGUCUGAAACUUCAAUCACAUCUGCAAAGUCUCUUUUGCCAUGUAAAGUAAUAUAAAUACAGGGUCUGGGAAAGUAGGGUGUGGACAUCUUUGGGGACCAGUAUGCUACUUACUAUUAUGACAUACACACACACACACACACACACACACACACGCACACACACACACACACACAUAUAUAUAUAUCUCCUCCAAGUGUCAAAUGAUGUCUGCCACAUACUUAAUAAAUAUCAAUGGGCUGAGGACCGUAGAUAAUGGCUGAGUUGAAUCAAAUUUUCCCUAUUGUGUCAUACACAUCCCACUUUGUCUGGUAGUAGAGAAAGAAGUGUCGGAUGGCAAAACUCUGCCAACAGCUUAUAAUGGAACUAGCUGGCAAGGAUGCUUCAUUCAGACUCAUUUCCACACCUGCCCAGGGUGUCAUGCUGUCUUUUUGAUCCAGAAGCCUGGACCCCAUAUUUUCCCCCUAUCCUAACCAUCUGAACCCGUAUUGCUGGCAGUUAGAUGUAUAUCAUGGAAAAUUCUUGGAAACUUGGAGUCCCAGAAACUGAUAGGAAUCCUGAGUCAGAUAAUAAACCUUACAAGAUGAUUCAACAAAUUAAACUAAAUGAUGGCGUUGUGACCUCUGAGACAACUUAAAACUUGCAUUUAGUGUCCUUGUCAAUGAAACCCUCUAGACAUACCCAUGAGCAUGUGGGCAUGUGCCAGCAGCCUGAAACCCACACAGUCAUCACAACACUUCUUCCCAGAGAGUCUGUUUUACUCACAGCAAAAACAUUGUUUAAGGCACUGUUUUCUUGUAAAAUAAACAUGGCCCUCUUAUGGGGUAGUUUAUAAAAAUCUCUUAAAUUUUCAAGGAAAACACAUGUUUUUAAUAUUUAAAGACAUUUUAGACUUGCUGCAUUGGGUUACCCACAGCAGUACCCAGUUCCCUGCCAUCACUAGUUUAAUUUUGUUGAUGUAAUUUCACCACCUCAAACUUCUACCUCUACCACUACUUAAGGGAUACUUUGGUGGAAAAUGUCAGAAAAAAUGCUUAAAACCUACCUCAAAUAUAAAUUAAAUUAUCUGGCUUUUGAUAUAGUCUGUAUAAGGGCAUAUAAGAGCCUUCUUUUUUUUUUUUUUUUUUAAUCUUUCUGAACUUGGAACUACCACCAUGAAAGAUGACCAAAAGGUACUAUUUUGUAGAUAUCCCUCAAGGUUGAUAAAAUACAGAAUUCUCUAAUAAUGUUUAUAAAGUCACAGAGUUCUGGAUCAAGAAAUCGCUACCAAAACCCGUAGGAGACAAGACUCUAUUUGGUCACCCUCCUACCUAUUUUCCUCUGGAUACCAAGAACCUAAGGUAGCCACAAACUUUCUACUGUGGUAUCAUAUUCUUGUAUGCCCUCCCCAAAUUCUCCAUUCUCUAAAAUUGUCUCUCACUUCUUUAUUGUUUUUCCUCUGUUUACUGCCCUGAAUCCUCCCCAUAAACAAUAAAACUGACAUAUUGCUAAUUAAUAUCCUCCUAGAACAAAGAAUCAAGGAAACUAAUUAUUCAUCUAAAGUAAAUCAUACUGAAAUAUGAAUGGCUGAUAAGUAAAUUGCUUAUACUUCGAAAUCACCCAAAUUAGUUUAUUCAGCAGGGUGGGGCUUAUGCCAGUUUUGUUCACUCACAGGACUCUACUGCAGUGCCUAGCAGGAAAGGGGUACUCAAUAUUUGUUGACAAGGAAAAUACUUGGAGAUGGCUGCUUUGAGUAAGGAAAUCAUUUUAGCGCCCAUAUUUUUCUUCAACUAUCUAUGUCCUUACAUAUUUUGACAGGCAGAAAAACAAGGCAAAUGUUUUUUGGAUUUGUUGUUUCUUUACUUCUUAUAGCUAAAGAUUUUCUUGAGCCUCAUCUAUGUGAUUGCAUAAUAACAAAUAGAUGGUAGGGUUGUUUGUUUUGGGAUUUGGGAUUUUUCGACUUAGAAUUUCUCUUCCUCCAAAAGAUGUUUUAAAAAUGUCCUUCUAGAACUGUUUGGGACAUGCCCAAGUAGAAGAAUAAGCCCAUGAGCAAGGAAUUCCUAUGCAAUCCUCUAUAGCACUUAGCACUGACUGAAUCGAAUUUGGGAGCAUUGUGUAGGGGGCAGAGUCUAGAAUAAAAUCCAGCAUUCUAAUUCAAACUCAGCCAGUUGUGUGAGUCCAUGUGAGCCAUUUAAUUGCUUUAAUCCCCCCCCCACUAUUUCCACAUCUUACCUCAAGCCUGCUAACCUAUGAGGUUUAAGAUCUUCCAUUAACAUGGGGCUAAAUUGUUUUCAAACAAAAUCAAAAUGUCAGCAAUGAUACAGCUUAUACAGAUUACAACUCUGUUACAUUUCCAGAAGGAUGUUUAAGAUGCAAUAUAUAAAAUAUUAGUUACGUGGUUGCAAUGAACAAUGCUAGAAUUUCAUCCGGUUAUACUUUUAAGUCAGUUCAUCCAUGUUCCAGGUAAAAGCUAAACACAGAAAAUAGCACGGCCUCAUGCUUAAGGGGAAAUGCAUAAUAAUGCCCACCGGGGAAAUGGAACAACCCAGAUGUGGCUUUAACAGUGAUCCUGCUUACCAGGCCUCUCUAACCCACCUUCUUCUUCCUUUUGUCAUCCUCUUCUUCUGGGGGUACACCCUCACUGGCAAGGAGUAUAAAAAGCUAUUACAAAAAGAAACUGGUAAAGUGAUAAAGUAUUGACCCAGUGGGCAAGGAAAUGAAUUAUAUAACUAUAGAAUGGUGUGUGGGAAAAUAUGUACCGACAGGAGAUGAAUAAAAAGAGGCACUGUGCAUGUUAUUAACUUGGACAGGAAUAAAAGAAAAAAAUCUUAUCAUCUCACUUUUUCUCUGCCCUAUUUUUCUGGAUAGAUUUGACAGCUCCGAAUUCCUCAGUGACUCUCCCGUCAUUAUUGCACAUUUUCUUAGUUCAUCUUUCUUCUUCCCCUCUUUCCACAGUUUUCAAGCCCCCAUCUCA